GAUGAACGCUGGCGGCGUGCCUAAUACAUGCAAGUCGAGCGAACGGACGAGAAGCUUGCUUUUCUGAUGUUAGCGGCGGACGGGUGAGUAACACGUGGAUAACCUACCUAUAAGACUGGGAUAACUUCGGGAAACCGGAGCUAAUACCGGAUAAUAUUUUGAACCGCAUGGUUCAAAAGUGAAAGACGGUCUUGCUGUCACUUAUAGGUGGAUCCGCGCUGCAUUGGCUAGUUGGUAAGGUAACGGCUUACCAAGGCAACGAUGCAUAGCCGACCUGAGAGGGUGAUCGGCCACACUGGAACUGAGACACGGUCCAGACUCCUACGGGAGGCAGCAGUAGGGAAUCUUCCGCAAUGGGCGAAAGCCUGACGGAGCAACGCCGCGUGAGUGAUGAAGGUCUUCGGAUCGUAAAACUCUGUUAUUAGGGAAGAACAUAUGUGUAAGUAACUGUGCACAUCUUGACGGUACCUAAUCAGAAAGCCACGGCUAACUACGUGCCAGCAGCCGCGGUAAUACGUAGGUGGCAAGCGUUAUCCGGAAUUAUUGGGCGUAAAGCGCGCGUAGGCGGUUUUUUAAGUCUGAUGUGAAAGCCCACGGCUCAACCGUGGAGGGUCAUUGGAAACUGGAAAACUUGAGUGCAGAAGAGGAAAGUGGAAUUCCAUGUGUAGCGGUGAAAUGCGCAGAGAUGUGGAGGAACACCAGUGGCGAAGGCGACUUUCUGGUCUGUAACUGACGCUGAUGUGCGAAAGCGUGGGGAUCAAACAGGAUUAGAUACCCUGGUAGUCCACGCCGUAAACGAUGAGUGCUAAGUGUUAGGGGGUUUCCGCCCCUUAGUGCUGCAGCUAACGCAUUAAGCACUCCGCCUGGGGAGUACGACCGCAAGGUUGAAACUCAAAGGAAUUGACGGGGGCCCGCACAAGCGGUGGAGCAUGUGGUUUAAUUCGAAGCAACGCGAAGAACCUUACCAAAUCUUGACAUCCUUUGACAACUCUAGAGAUAGAGCCUUCCCCUUCGGGGGACAAAGUGACAGGUGGUGCAUGGUUGUCGUCAGCUCGUGUCGUGAGAUGUUGGGUUAAGUCCCGCAACGAGCGCAACCCUUAAGCUUAGUUGCCAUCAUUAAGUUGGGCACUCUAAGUUGACUGCCGGUAACAAACCGGAGGAAGGUGGGGAUGACGUCAAAUCAUCAUGCCCCUUAUGAUUUGGGCUACACACGUGCUACAAUGGACAAUACAAAGGGCAGCGAAACCGCGAGGUCAAGCAAAUCCCAUAAAGUCGUUCUCAGUUCGGAUUGUAGUCUGCAACUCGACUACAUGAAGCUGGAAUCGCUAGUAAUCGUAGAUCAGCAUGCUACGGUGAAUACGUUCCCGGGUCU
rnacentral:rRNA from 1 species